GACAGAGGUGCCGAGCGUUAGGCGGAAUCACUGGGCUUAAAGCGUGUGUAGGUGGAUGCCUAAGUACCUUGUGAAAUCCCACGGCUUAACCGUGGAACUGCUUGGUAUACUGGGUGUCUUGAGCCAGCUAGGGGCUACCGGAACAAAUGGUGGAGGCGGUGAAAUGCGUAGAUAUCAUUUGGAACGCCAAUGGUGAAAACAGGUAGCUGGGGCUGUGCUGACACUGAGACGAAAGCCAGGGGAGCGAACGGG
rnacentral:rRNA from 1 species